rnacentral:tRNA from 1 species
GCGCCCUUAGCUCAGUUGGUUAGAGCAUCUCGUUUACACCGAGAGGGUCGGGAGUUCGAGUCUCUCAGGGCGCA